AAGUCGUAACAAGGUAACCGUAGGUGAACCUGCGGUUGGAUCAUUAAAAAAUAUCUUUUUUGAGGCUAGUGGGGGAUCUUUUUUUAGGGUCCCCUCUAGUUUUCAUUAACCCAACCUUUGUGAACUUAGAUUUUUGUAUUUUUUGGGUGCGGGUUAGGCCUUUUUUUUUAAAAAGGAGGCCUUGGAAGUGUUUUUUUGAAGGCUUGAAGGAAAAAGAGUUUAAGGCCUUUUUUUCUUCUUCCUUUCUUUUAAACGACCCACCCAAUUGGGCCUUAGGGAAUUUCGAUUCCUUUUUUUUAAGGCCUACUUUUUAAGCCUAUAAUUUAGAAAAACUUGUCUAGAAAAUUUUUGUUGUAUUAACAGAAAAAAAAACAACUUUUGACAACGGAUCUCUAGGCUCUC
rnacentral:misc_RNA from 1 species